UCUGAAAUGGUUAAAUAAAGGAUAAACUACACUAGCCCAGUAAGGAUAUCGCACUAUAUCACCGGCACAGAAAUAAAGGUUGGUAUAAAAUCGAAAACCACUAAUGGAGCAUUAAAUUUAAUAAAUUCAUUUAUCAAUCAUAAAAUCAUUUCUCGUUCACUUGUCAUAGUGAAAUUUAUGAAAAUAACCUAUAAAAAUAAUAAUACCAUACAGAUCAUAUCUUCAUGAACAAUCAGCAACGUAGAAUAUAUUAUAAUUCCAUAUCCAUUAACAAUAAACCAAACCAUAACUGUUUCUCUUUUCACCAGCCUACUAGUAUCCAUGGGGUUCAUAGGGAUGUCCCCGCUAUACGUGAACCAUUUCCUUUAACAAUUUCAAUUACAGGCUGUCCCCAUACCCCGUUCGGUAUGAGUGUCGAAUCAUUAAAGCUUAAUACCCCGUCUGGUAUGAGGGUAAAGCGGACCUUCCCCAUACCCCGUUCGGUAUUAGCACUAAAUUAUUCAGUCUUCAUACCCCGUCCAGUAUGAGAUAACAUUCACGGUAGGGUUCCCUAUGUACCUAGUCCGUCCACUUUCUCCCAAGAUAUCUGGUAAGGCUGUCGUUCUAUCUGUUUAUUUAAUCACACCACUUUUCCCUUUUUCUUUAGUCUCUAUUUCCAAAUCAAACAUAAUUACAUAAGCAAAUAAACAUGCAUUAGGUAAUGCAAUCAUGUCUCAAAUCCCAAAUCAAACAGUAGUCACGUAAGACAGCAAUUCAUGCAUUCAAACCCUGAAAUAAAUCGAUAAGACACUAUCAUGCUUUUCGAUUAUAGAAUACAU
rnacentral:lncRNA from 1 species